GGGGAAUAUUGGACAAUGGGGGAAACCCUGAUCCAGCAAUGCCGCGUGAAUGAAGAAGGCCUUAGGGUUGUAAAGUUCUUUCACCUGUGAAGAUAAUGACGGUAGCAGGAGAAGAAGCCCCGGCAAACUCCGUGCCAGCAGCCGCGGUAAGACGGAGGGGGCUAGCGUUGUUCGGAAUGACUGGGCGUAAAGGGCGCGUAGGCGGUGUCUUAAGUGAGGCGUGAAAGCCCCGGGCUUAACCCGGGAGGUGCGUUUCAUACUGAGAUGCUAGAGUGCGAGAGAGGAAAGUGGAAUUCCUAGUGUAGAGGUGAAAUUCGUAGAUAUUAGGAAGAACACCAGAGGCGAAGGCGGCUUUCUGGCUCGUAACUGACGCUGAGGCGCGAAAGCGUGGGGAGCAAAC
rnacentral:rRNA from 1 species